rnacentral:rRNA from 1 species
UGGGGCCCAGAUCGUUUACCGUGAAAAAAUUAGAGUGUUCAAAGCAGGCAGAUCCAAUUUUCUGCCACCGAAUACAUUAGCAUGGGAUAAUGGAAUAGGACCCUGUCCUCCUAUUUUCAGUUGGUUUUGGCAGCGCGAGGACUAGGGUAAUGAUUAAUAGGGAUAGUUGGGGGCAUUAAUAUUUAAUUGUCAGAGGUGAAAUUCUUGGAUUUAUGAAAGAUUAACUUCUGCGAAAGCAUCUGCCAAGGAUGUUUUCAUUAAUCAAGAACGAAAGUUAGGGGAUCGAAGACGAUCAGAUACCGUCGUAGUCUUAACCAUAAACGAUGCCGACCAGCGAUUAGGAGACGUUGAAUACAAAACACCACCAUCGGUGCGGUCGUCCUUGGCGUCUCGGUCCUUCACGGGGCCGGGGCGCGGGGGUGGCUUAGCCCGGUGGCACCGGUGAAUGACUCCCCUAGCAGCUUGUGAGAA